rnacentral:rRNA from 1 species
CACGUAGGGGGCAAGCGUUGUCCGGAUUUAUUGGGCGUAAAGAGCUCGUAGGUGGUUCGGUAAGUCGGGUGUUAAACCCCCAGGCUCAACCUGGGGACGCCACUCGAUACUGCUGUGACUAGAGUCCGGUAGGGGAGCGUGGAAUUCCUGGUGUAGCGGUGAAAGGCGCAGAUAUCAGGAGGAACACCAGCGGCGAAGGCGGCGCUCUGGGCCGGUACUGACACUGAGGAGCGAAAGCGUGGGUAGCAAACAGG